rnacentral:pre_miRNA from 1 species
AAAGACUCAAUUCUUGGGUUUCCGUGUCCAACGUUUGAACGUCCGUCUUAUAUAAAAUUUUUAUGAUUAGUAUUUUUAUUACUGUUAGAUGAUAAAAUAUGAAUAAUACUUUAUAUAUAACUUAUAUUUUUAAAUUUUUUUAUAUUUUUUUUAAAUAAGACGGACAAUCAAAUGUUAGACAUGGAAACCUAGGAAUUAAG